ACUAUUGGAGGUUAUAUCUUCCACGAAGGGUAGAUUAGAAUGACAUAGACAUAAGUUUUAAACCUUCGCAACCAUAGGUAAUUCUCAAGGAAAAAGAACAACAAUUAGAAAGUUUAAGGAACUAAUAGUAGAAGUGUGUUGGGCUAAAAAUUGCAUACUAAUGGGUGUGAGAAUCAGCUAUUAAGACUUUAUAACUAAUGAGAGUAGUUAUUUUUGUCUUUAAUAUUAAAGUUAGAUUUAUUAUUGUAACCAUUUAUUAUGAAAUGAUACAUUGAGUUUUUUUUUAAAUAUGGAUUUUUUCUUAGAAUAAUAGAUGUGUGAUGAAUGAGGUGUCCAUAAAAUCAUUGUUUGUUCAUAAUAUCAUUUGUACUGAAUUCAAUGAAAAUAUUUUAUUAAUAUUAAAUGAAAAUAGUAUUGAUAACAAAAUCCCAUCUUUAUGCUCAAAUUGUUGCUAAAUUAAAAUAAAUUCUGGAAAAAAAAAAAUUCUUUGUUCUUAUGAAUGUGAAAAAAGCAUGGUACCGUUGAAGAAAAAUCCGCUCCCUAGCUAGUGGAGUUUGAAAAAAGCAUGCCACCGUUAAAGAAAAAAACACGCUGCAUUCUUUCACCUAUUAUAUAUAGAAUUCCCAGACCUGUUCGGUUGGAUUUCUCAUCUUCCACGCCCCUCCCAAUUGCGUCGCUCUGUGCAAUCUGUUCGGCUCUUCAAACUGGUAAAAACGUCCUGUCUUUACUCCCUUUCCAUCAAAUCUAUUUGCCAAUUAUCCCCUGUUUUUCAACUCUGCAUUUCUGUUCCUGUCUCUUAGUAGAAAUCAGCCAGGAAUUCACACAGUGAACAUCUCCAGAGUGCCACCGGUUACACGUUGAGAAGAUUUACUCAACAGAAUGCGAUAUGUUUCAAGAAAUGCAACGGCAAUUAAUGGCGCCCGCCUAAUGGGAAGAAAACGAAUUGCAGCGAGCUCUGACUGUCAUGGAAAUUCGGUUGAACUAUGCACAACAGAAGAAAGGGGUUUAAGUCCAAUUUAUGCCAUUCAUCCAGUGGAAGAUUGUCUACCAGGCAUUGUGAGCAAAGUGCAUUUGGAGAAGGAGACGAAUAUUGAAUCAUUGCCUUAGGAUAUCUUGGCAGUAUUGGUUCAGAUGUUAGGUGUGGCUGCUGCAAUGUCUCCUGAGUCUUCAUCUACCAGUUUAAAUCCAGUUGAGGCUUACCUUUUCUUAAGAUGACAAAUUCUAUGUUGAUCCUGUAUUUUUAAAGUUAGGGAACAUAUACCAUAUAAACAGUAUUUUUAAUCCGUGAAUAAACUUUUGAAUGGUUUAGAGCAUGCACAGAACAAGUGACAGUGCUUUCCCUGAGUCCUGACAGACCAUGACACUAUGGCAGUGGUACCAUCUGCUUGGAAGCUGCUCUUAAUUAUGGUAUCAGAGUAAUUCCAGGUUUUGAAAUCAGCACAAUUGUUCCAUCAAGGUUAGCCAAUUUCUUACGCAUCUAAUAUAGGCAUAUGGUACCAGAAUUCAAUAGCUCAUGUUAGUGCAGAGCAAAUUUCAAUUUUAUUGUUGCACUUUCAAAUAAAUUGCUGAAAUCAAUAAACUUAUUUGUCCA